rnacentral:rRNA from 1 species
CACGUAGGGCGCAAGCGUUGUCCGGAAUUAUUGGGCGUAAAGAGCUCGUAGGCGGUCUGUUACGUCUGCUGUGAAAACCCGGGGCUUAACCCUGGGCUUGCAGUGGAUACGGGCAGGCUAGAGUUCGGUAGGGGAGUCUGGAAUUCCUGGUGUAGCGGUGAAAUGCGCAGAUAUCAGGAGGAACACCGGUGGCGAAGGCGGGACUCUGGGCCGAUACUGACGCUGAGGAGCGAAAGCGUGGGGAGCGAACAGG